rnacentral:tRNA from 1 species
GCCGCGGCAGCCUAGCCUGGCGGGGCGCGGGACUGCAGAUCCCGUUACCCGGGUUCAAAUCCCGGCCGCGGCUCCA